CCUACGGGUGGCAGCAGUGGGGAAUAUUGGGCAAUGGGCGCAAGCCUGACCCAGCAACGCCGCGUGAAGGAAGAAGGCUUUCGGGUUGUAAACUUCUUUUAAGAGGGAAGAGCAGAAGACGGUACCUCUUGAAUAAGCCACGGCUAACUACGUGCCAGCAGCCGCGGUACUAAGUAGGUGGCAAGGGUUGUCCGGAUUUACUGGGGGUAAAGGGCGUGCAGCCGGGAAGACAAGUCAGAUGUGAAAUCCGGCGGCUUAACCGCGGAACUGCGUUUGAAACUGUUUUUCUUGAGUACCGGAGAGGUCAUCGGAAUGCCUUGUGUAGCGGUGAAAUGCGUAGAUAUAAGGAAGAACACCAGUGGCGAAGGCGGAUGACUGGACGGCAACUGACGGUGAGGCGCGAAAGCGUGGGGAGCAAACAGGAUUAGAUACCCGAGUAGUC
rnacentral:rRNA from 1 species